GGCCUCUUGUGGUCACAAGGGUGCAUGUCAACAUAUUUGCCUCCCUCUCCAGGUCUGUCUUGCUCCACCCAAGUAUUCUUUUCAUCCAAGCCCUGAAAUGAGAGAACUUCCUGGAACUGUGUAGUCAUAUGUUGCUUCUAUGGGGAGGCCAUGGGACCCCUCAGCUGAUCUUCCAGUCAAGAGAGAGCUCUCUGAUUCUGAAGUCAAUCUCGAAGAGGAGUGUUUUGCUUGCUGGCCAAUCCUGUUUGCUGGAAAUCCCCUGGACUCCUUGAGAUGGCUAUGCACCUCUGGGGAGAGCUUACUCUUAGCACUUAGGACUCCCCUGGCAUAUGCUCAGCUCAUUCCUUACAGGCUGCUUCAUCAGCCUUGACAAGCCCCUUCUGUGUGAAGGAAGGUAGCUCAGGAUUCCCUGGCCUCCCUGGAAGAAAGGUGAGUGUAGCAGGCCUCAUCGCCCGUAUUAUGCCUGUUCUCCCCUGCCUCCUCCUUGGUAAGCAUCCAAUAACAAGGAACAAAAACGAAACAGGUGAGAUUGGUACUCAGGUCUGCUCCUGUUUGAGUUGUUU
rnacentral:lncRNA from 1 species